rnacentral:rRNA from 1 species
UACGGGGGGGGGCAAGCGUUGUUCGGAAUUACUGGGCGUAAAGGGCUUGUAGGUGGCCAACUAAGUCAGACGUGAAAUCCCUCGGCUUAACCGGGGAACUGCGUCUGAUACUGGAUGGCUUGAGUGUGGGAGAGGGAUGCGGAAUUCCAGGUGUAGCGGUGAAAUGCGUAGAUAUCUGGAGGAACACCGGUGGCGAAGGCGGCAUCCUGGACCAACACUGACGCUGAUGAGCGAAAGCCAGGGGAGCAAACGGG